CUACUGUAGCAGCCAGCAUGGAGUGGACUGACUGACUCCUGGGGAUUGGUACUGGAAAAACUAAGCCCAAAUUCUUAAAGGAGGACUGGAAGACUUUGAACUGCUUUUGAAAUGGAUAACAGUUUAAGAAUCCUCAAGUGUCACACCUCGCUGCAGCGUAAUCUUUUCGCGUCUCAGCCCACUGUCCAGUCCUGGCCCAUGGGAAUACUCUCUCACAGCAAGUCACUGGUGUGGACCGACAGACCAUGGACCACAGGUCUGCUCUAGUGCCCUCACCUGGCACCAUCCAGCCAUUGCACCUGCUCAUCAUUCUAACCUGAAACCCAGCAGGACAGAGAACAGAAAAUGAUUAACAAUUAACAAGGUUGAUGGAAGAAGUUUGGUUCGAACUUUAGAGUAAUGGAGGAGGUUCCACACUUUUAUUUUCAUUGGAAAGCUAUGUUUCAGUUCUUCGUCAUCUGCCUGGCAAAAAUAUUAGUACAUUUACUUUCAAUUCUCUGUAAAUUGUCUGCAUCUAGCUAUCUAUUGAUUUGAUAGGAAAAACCUUGGCGUACCUCUUGUCACGCCCUGGCCUUAGUAUUUUGUGUUUUCUUUAUUAUUUUGGUCAGGCCAGGGUGUGACAUGGGUAAUUUAUGUGUCUUGUCUUGUCUAGGGGUUUAUUAGAUUUAUGGGGUUGUGUUUAGUAGUUGUCUAGGAAAGUCUAUGGUUGCCUUGAGUGGUUCUCAAUCAAGGCAGGUGUUUAUCGUUGUCUCUGAUUGGGAACCAUAUUUAGGCAGCCAUAUUCUUUGGGUAUUUCGUGGGUGAUUGUUUCCUGUCUUUGUUGCACCAGAUAGGGCUGUUUUGGUUUUUCACGGUUCUUGUUUUGUAACUUGUUCAUAUUUUCCAUCUUUCAUUAAAGGUUUUGUAACACCUCA